UUUGGUGCCAGCAGCCGCGGUAAUUCCAGCUCCAAUAGGGUAUAUUAAAGUUGUUGCAGUUAAAAAGCUCGUAGUUGAAUUUCGGGGUCAGCAAGUUGGUCGUGCCACCGGUAUGUACUGGCUUUGCUGAUUCCUCCUUCUUGUAGAACCGUAAUGCCAUUCAUUUGGUGUUGCGGGAAAACAGGACUGUUACUUUGAAAAA
rnacentral:rRNA from 1 species